rnacentral:lncRNA from 1 species
CUUGUCUCGAUGGGGGAGGGAGAGCGCUUCCCAGGGCCGCCCGCCCUGUCACUCAGCCCCAUCACCCUCUGUUCCCAUGAUGCGUCCCUGAAUGAGCCUGUUAAUUGUGUCCCAGGGUCUCGAUGGGGCUAAAGUGGGAGCCGUGACAUCCUCAGAAAGACUGGGAGGUCUGGAGCUUUUUCUGCACAUGCCGGUCAGGGUCUCCGGUGCCCUCCGCAUAGCACCGGGAUCCAUCGGACAGUUGCCACCCCUACGAUGCUUGGCAGAAGAGGAAGGAGAACUGGUGAGACUGCCCUGUCACCAGCGGGCAAUGCUCUGCGUCUGCUCCCCGUCUUUCCCGACUGGAAGCACUUUUUGGUACCUGAGGGGCUGGGUGGACAAAGGCUGUGCCUCCCCUGGAGCAGACUGUGGUCCUGAUCUUCAUUCCUCCUCCUCCCACACUGCAAGGAGAGACUCACCACUCUCCCCAUUUCACAGUUGGUUGAAUCCACGGAUGCAAAAUCUGCGGAUGUGGAGAGCUGACUGGACACGCAGCGGAAGAAAGAAAGAAAGAGUGUCUACACCAGGCAACACCAGGAACCCUUUUCUGCAUUCAACAGACCUCCCAGGCAAGGAUCCUCUUGCAAUGGAAAAGGCUGGGCCUUGCAAUGGUUCAGAGAAACCCUUCCAGUUUCUCAUACCACUCCAAACAACUGGGUGAUGUAUGGCAUUCCAUUAUCUUAGCACCUCCAGUUUCCCUUCCAUAAAACAAGGAUUAAAAAUCUCACCCCAAUCGGACUGUUGGGCAUCAAAUGAGAUCAUAUACAUGGGUGUCUACUGGAAACAUGGAAAAUUUCUGCUGUGCUUCUGGGAUGGAAAGGGGAGGAAAGAGGACCAGUGUAGAAGGUCACGCCACACGCAGCAGCAGGUGGAUCC